AUCUGACCUCCUGGUGGGUGAGUCACUGAUGCUUACUUUGAGGGGUGAGGCAGCAGGGAGGGCAGUGCAGUGCAAAUGAACCAGCAGGAGUGCCGGAUUGGCUCAGCUGGUUCAUUUGCACCACACCAACCUCACUGCCGUCCAGCCCCUCCCUGUAAGUAGCAGUGACUCACCUGCUGGGAGGACUGC
rnacentral:miRNA from 1 species